rnacentral:rRNA from 1 species
GAGUGUUUAAAGCAGGCUCGCGCUUGAAUACAUUAGCAUGGAAUAAUGAAAUAGGUACGUUUGAUUCUAUUUUGUUGGUUUCUAGGAUCGACGUAAUGAUUAAUAGGGAUAGUUGGGGGCAUUAGUAUUCAAUUGUCAGAGGUGAAAUUCUUGGAUUUAUUGAAGACUAACUACUGCGAAAGCAUUUGCCAAGGAUGUUUUCAUUAAUCAAGAACGAAAGUUAGGGGAUCGAAAACGAUCAGAUACCGUCGUAGUCUUAACCAUAAACUAUGCCGACUAGGGACCGGAUGAUGUUAAUUUUUUAAUGACUCAUUCGGCGCCUUACG